AUGGAAAGCAAAUACAAGAAAGAAGUAAAUGUAGCCAAGGCAAAUUUAUUUAAAUUUCUUUUUUUUUUCUUUUGCAGUAUUUGCUGUCUCUUUUAGUAAUCCCGACAGAACAAAUGAGUUAUCAGAAAAUGGAUGAAUGAGUUACCUCUGGAAGCAGAGUUCAGUUGGGAAAAAUGCCAAGGAAUGGAGAAGAGGUAUCAAAGAGCAUAACCAAUACUGCUGCGCGGAGAAGGGAGUUGGGAUUACUCAAGACUCACAUAAGUACAUACACCCUCUCUAUAGCUGUAUCCCUCUACUCCAUUGCUAG
rnacentral:lncRNA from 1 species